GGCAGCAUGGUCUUAGCUUGCUAAGGCCGAUGGCGACCGGCGCACGGGUGAGUAACACGUAUCCAACCUGCCGUCUACUCUUGGACAGCCUUCUGAAAGGAAGAUUAAUACAAGAUGGCAUCAUGAGUCCGCAUGUUCACAUGAUUAAAGGUAUUCCGGUAGACGAUGGGGAUGCGUUCCAUUAGAUAGUAGGCGGGGUAACGGCCCACCUAGUCUUCGAUGGAUAGGGGUUCUGAGAGGAAGGUCCCCCACAUUGGAACUGAGACACGGUCCAAACUCCUACGGGAGGCAGCAGUGAGGAAUAUUGGUCAAUGGGCGCAGGCCUGAACCAGCCAAGUAGCGUGAAGGAUGACUGCCCUAUGGGUUGUAAACUUCUUUUAUAAAGGAAUAAAGUCGGGUAUGUAUACCCGUUUGCAUGUACUUUAUGAAUAAGGAUCGGCUAACUCCGUGCCAGCAGCCGCGGUAAUACGGAGGAUCCGAGCGUUAUCCGGAUUUAUUGGGUUUAAAGGGAGCGUAGAUGGAUGUUUAAGUCAGUUGUGAAAGUUUGCGGCUCAACCGUAAAAUUGCAGUUGAUACUGGAUAUCUUGAGUGCAGUUGAGGCAGGCGGAAUUCGUGGUGUAGCGGUGAAAUGCUUAGAUAUCACGAAGAACUCCGAUUGCGAAGGCAGCCUGCUAAGCUGCAACUGACAUUGAGGCUC
rnacentral:rRNA from 1 species